GUACCCCGAGGAAAAGAAAUCAACCGAGAUUCCCCCAGUAGCGGCGAGCGAACGGGGAGCAGCCCAGAGCCUGAAUCAGUGUGUGUGUUAGUGGAAGCAUCUGGAAAGGCGCGCGAUACAGGGUGACAGCCCCGUACACAAAAAUGCACAUGCUGUGAGCUCGAUGAGUAGGGCGGGACACGUGGUAUCCUGUCUGAAUAUGGGGGGACCAUCCUCCAAGGCUAAAUACUCCUGACUGACCGAUAGUGAACCAGUACCGUGAGGGAAAGGCGAAAAGAACCCCGGCGAGGGGAGUGAAAAAGAACCUGAAACCGUGUACGUACAAGCAGUGGGAGCACGCUUAGGCGUGUGACUGCGUACCUUUUGUAUAAUGGGUCAGCGACUUAUAUUCUGUAGCAAGGUUAACCGAAUAGGGGAGCCGAAGGGAA
rnacentral:rRNA from 1 species